AUGAAUGCUUUCUCCCAUGUCCCCCCUGGUUUCCGUUUCCACCCCACUGAUGAGGAGCUGGUGGAUUACUACCUGAGGAAGAAGGUGCAAUUGAAGAGGAUUGGCUUAGACAUUAUAAAAGACGUUGAUUUGUACAAAAUCGAACCUUGGGAUCUACAAGAACGAUGCAAGAUCGGAACGGAAGACCAGAACGACUGGUUCUUCUUCAGCCACAAGGACAAGAAGUAUCCCACCGGCACUCGCACUAACAGAGCAACUACUGCUGGUUUCUGGAAGGCUACCGGCCGGGACAAGCCGAUCUACGUGAAGCACUGCCUCGUGGGGAUGAGGAAGACGCUGGUUUUCUACAAGGGCCGGGCUCCCAAUGGGCAGAAGUUGGAUUGGAUCAUGCACGAGUAUCGCCUGGAGACCAACGAAAAUGGAGCUCCCCACGACGAAGGAUGGGUGGUCUGCAAGGUGUUCAAGAAGCGAGUUGCGACGGUGCAGAGAAUGGCCACCGCCGACUCGCCCUUCUGGUUCAAUCACGACCAUGCGGCGUUCAUGGCGCCUCACGUCGACUCGCAGAGGCAGGCAGUGCACCACCUCCAGAACGCGGCGUACCAUCAUGGACACCACCAGAGCUACCACCACCCGUGCAAGGUAGAGCUGGAGUACCAUCAGCUCCUUCCUCAGGAGCCGGCAAGCUUCAUGCAGCUCCCGCAGCUAGGGAUGCCCGGGCUUCCGGACCUGAUCGGCGCCGUAGCUGCCAGUCUCCAGCCGUGCAACCAGACACACGACGGCCAAACUUCUCGGCAGCCUGAGAUCGAGCCGGUUUAUGUGACGGACGCAUCCGCCGGAGAGUGGAGGGAUCUUGACAAAUUCAUGGCGUCCCAACUCAGCCACGACGGCUCAACUCCGAAGGAGUCCAGCGGCUACGCCAAUCCCGCGCUGUCGUUUCAGUCUGAGGGGAAGCACGAAGAGGCCUUGGAUUACGUGUCGGCAUCUGCCUCCAGCGGAGGGGACAAUGGUUUGUGGAAAUAA
rnacentral:rRNA from 1 species